rnacentral:rRNA from 1 species
AUGAACGCUGGCGGCGUGCCUAAUACAUGCAAGUCGAGCGAACAGACGAGGAGCUUGCUCCUCUGACGUUAGCGGCGGACGGGUGAGUAACACGUGGAUAACCUACCUAUAAGACUGGGAUAACUUCGGGAAACCGGAGCUAAUACCGGAUAAUAUAUUGAACCGCAUGGUUCAAUAGUGAAAGAUGGUUUUGCUGUCACUUAUAGAUGGAUCCGCGCCGCAUUAGCUAGUUGGUAAGGUAACGGCUUACCAAGGCAACGAUGCGUAGCCGACCUGAGAGGGUGAUCGGCCACACUGGAACUGAGACACAGUCCAGACUCCUACAGGAGGCAGCAGUAGGGAAUCUUCCGCAAAGGGCGAAAGCCUGACGGAGCAACGCCGCGUGAGUGAUGAAGGUCUUCGGAUCGUAAAACUCUGUUAUUAGGGAAGAACAAAUGUGUAAGUACCUAUGCACGUCUUGACGGUACCUAAUCAGAAAGCCACGGCUAACUACGUG